rnacentral:rRNA from 1 species
GACGAACGCUGGCGGCAUGCCAAACACAUGCAAGUCGAACGAGAUCUUCGGGUCUAGUGGCGCACGGGUGCGUAACGCGUGGGAAUCUGCCCUUUGGUUCGGAAUAACAGUUGGAAACGACUGCUAAUACCGGAUGAUGACGAAAGUCCAAAGAUUUAUCGCCAGAGGAUGAGCCCGCGUAGGAUUAGCUAGUUGGUGUGGUAAAGGCGCACCAAGGCGACGAUCCUUAGCCGGUCUGAGAGGAUGAUCAGCCACACUGGGACUGAGACACGGCCCAGACUCCUACGGGAGGCAGCAGUGGGGAAUAUUGGACAAUGGGCGAAAGCCUGAUCCAGCAAUGCCGCGUGAGUGAUGAAGGCCUUAGGGUUGUAAAGCUCUUUUACCCGGGAUGAUAAUGACAGUACCGGGAGAAUAAGCUCCGGCUAACUCCGUGCCAGCCGCCGCCGUAA